rnacentral:rRNA from 1 species
AUUGAACGCUGGCGGCAGGCUUAACACAUGCAAGUCGAGCGGUAACAUUUCUAGCUUGCUAGAAGAUGACGAGCGGCGGACGGGUGAGUAAUGCUUGGGAUGUGCCAUAGGGUGGGGACAACAGUUGGAAACGACUGCUAAUACCGCAUAAUGUUUUACGCUUAGCGCGUAGGACCAAAGGAGGGGCUCUUCGGACCUUUCGCCCUUUGAUCAGCCCAAGUGAGAUUAGCUAGUUGGUGAGGUAAGAGCUCACCAAGGCGACGAUCUCUAGCUGGUUUGAGAGGAUGAUCAGCCACACUGGGACUGAGACACGGCCCAGACUCCUACGGGAGGCAGCAGUGGGGAAUAUUGCACAAUGGGGGAAACCCUGAUGCAGCCAUGCCGCGUGUGUGAAGAAGGCCUUCGGGUUGUAAAGCACUUUCAGUUGCGAGGAAAGGUUAAUAACUAAUAUUUAUUAACUAUGACGUUAACAACAGAAGAAGCACCGGCUAACUCCAUGCCAGCAGCCGCGGUAAUACGGAGGGUGCGAGCGUUAAUCGGAAUUACUGGGCGUAAAGCGUGCGUAGGCGGAUUGUUAAGCAAGAUGUGAAAGCCCUGGGCUCAACCUGGGAACUGCAUUUUGAACUGGCAGUCUAGAGUAUUGUAGAGGGUGGUGGAAUUUCCAGUGUAGCGGUGAAAUGCGUAGAGAUCGGAAGGAACAUCAGUGGCGAAGGCGGCCACCUGGACAAAUACUGACGCUGAGGCACGAAAGCGUGGGGAGCGAACAGGAUUAGAUACCCUGGUAGUCCACGCCGUAAACGAUGUCAACUAGCUGUUUGUGGUCUUGAACCGUGAGUAGCGUAGCUAACGCGAUAAGUUGACCGCCUGGGGAGUACGGCCGCAAGGUUAAAGCUCAAAUGAAUUGACGGGGGCCCGCACAAGCGGUGGAGCAUGUGGUUUAAUUCGAUGCAACGCGAAGAACCUUACCAUCCCUUGACAUCCACAGAAGAGACUAGAGAUAGACUUUUGCCUUCGGGAACUGUGAGACAGGUGCUGCAUGGCUGUCGUCAGCUCGUGUUGUGAAAUGUUGGGUUAAGUCCCGCAACGAGCGCAACCCCUAUCCUUAUUUGCCAGCGAGUAGUGUCGGGAACUCUAAGGAGACUGCCGGUGAUAAACCGGAGGAAGGUGGGACGACGUCAAGUCAUCAUGGCCCUUACGGGAUGGGCUACACACGUGCUACAAUGGCAAGUACAGAGGGAAGCGAGACCGCGAGGUGGAGCGGAUCCCAGAAAGCUUGUCGUAGUCCGGAUCGGAGUCUGCAACCCGACUCCGUGGAGUCGGAAUCGCUAGUAAUCGUGGAUCAGAAUGCCACGGUGAAUACGUUCCCGGGCCUUGUACACACCGCCCGUCACACCAUGGGAGUUGGUUGCACCAGAAGUAGCUAGUCUAACCUUUCGGGGGGACGGUUACCACGGUGUGGUCAAUGACUGGGGUG